rnacentral:rRNA from 1 species
GCAUGCGGGUGGUUUGUUAAGUCAGAUGUGAAAGCCCGGGGCUCAACCUCGGAACUGCAUUUGAAACUGGCAAACUAGAGUACUGUAGAGGGGGGUAGAAUUUCAGGUGUAGCGGUGAAAUGCGUAGAGAUCUGAAGGAAUACCAGUGGCGAAGGCGGCCCCCUGGACAGAUACUGACACUCAGAUGCGAAAGCGUGGGGAGCAAACAGGAUUAAAUACCCUGGUAGUCCACGCCGUAAACGAUGUCUACUUGGAGGUUGUGGCCUUGAGCCGUGGCUUUCGGAGCUAACGCGUUAAGUAGACCGCCUGGGGAGUACGGUCGCAAGAUUAAAACUCAAAUGAAUUGACGGGGGCCCGCACAAGCGGUGGAGCAUGUGGUUUAAUUCGAUGCAACGCGAAGAACCUUACCUACUCUUGACAUCCAGAGAACUUAGCAGAGAUGCUUUGGUGCCUUCGGGAACUCUGAGACAGGUGCUGCAUGGCUGUCGUCAGCUCGUGUUGUGAAAUGUUGGGUUAAGUCC